rnacentral:rRNA from 1 species
UACGGAGGAUCCGAGCGUUAUCCGGAUUUAUUGGGUUUAAAGGGUGCGUAGGCGGCCUGUUAAGUCAGGGGUGAAAGACGGUAGCUCAACUAUCGCAGUGCCCUUGAUACUGAUGGGCUUGAAUGUACUAGAGGUAGGCGGAAUGUGACAAGUAGCGGUGAAAUGCAUAGAUAUGUCACAGAACACCAAUUGCGAAGGCAGCUUACUACACAAUGAUUGACGCUGAGGCACGAAAGCGUGGGGAUCAAACAGG